GUGUUUCGGACAGCGGUUCGAUUCCGCUCAGCUCCACCA
rnacentral:tmRNA from 1 species